ensembl:lncRNA
AUAUGAAAGGCUCUGUGCAGACUGCCCUGGAUGCCCCAGAUAUGUCAGGUGUCAGAAAUGAAGUAGUUGCCAUAGAUUUGCCAUUUCCUCUGAUGGAGGAGGACGAUGAACAAGACCAGGACUGUCCACUGGACUUUCAGGAUACUUUUGGAUUCCUUGACCUUAUGGACAGCAGUGUCUCCAGCCAGGUGUGUAUGUGUCUGUGUCUGUCUGUUUCUUUGUGUGUGUCUGUGUGUUUAAUCAUUUAGUUAUGAUCCUAACCUCUCUUUUCCAUCCUCUCUCCUCCCAGAUGUUCCAAGAGUUCUCAGUGGAGCCUCAUCAUGGGGAUGAUGAGUAUGAAGACGAGGUGGAGCAUAGAUCCCCAGGACUCUCACAUGACAGACCAGACCCUGUCACACGGCCACCUGUAGACGCACAGACACAAAUACAGACACAAACGCCCAUACACAGGCCUCUAAGCAUAGAUCAGUAUGGGCGAGCCAACAAGUCAAUGAGUCUGCCUUACAUGUCCCGGCCCUUCCUGCCUGCUCUGUCUUCCUCCUCCUCUGAAGAAGAAGAAGAAGAGGAGGAUGAAGAAGGUGAUGAUUACGACAAAGAAGAUGAGGAGGAUGAUGAUGACAUGUUCUGUAAAAGUCUACCAUCUAGUUUGGUGUUCAACAGACUGACAUGGAGUGGACCUCAGACUGACUUGGAGAACAGUUUGUCCCCAGCCCCUGUGCCCUCACAACCACUGGACGGUGCCUCUGAUGAUGGACCAAUUCCUAGUUCUGAGGCCAGAAUUCCCCCUGAGCACUUGGACAUUGAUUCCCCUGACUGCUGUCACCAAUCAGUGGAGGUUUUGAAGUAUAGCAAAGCUGAAGAAAAGAAUAGUCUGGAAGCGAUGAAACUGGUGGAGGAGGAGGAUGCAGAACAGGAUCGAGACAGCCAGGAGAAAAACCAGGCAGACACCCUGACCAAUACUUGCACAGAAAGAUCGCCUUCACUUUGCAGCACUGACAUAGAAGAAAGUUGUCACUUGGUUGAAACCAGCAUCAUGGAGGAAGAGGAAACUCCAGAUGACAUUGAGAAGAGCCACGCUUCAGCAUCCGCAUCAACGGACUGUGAGGAGGCCUCACUGCAGACCACUAGAGUUCAUCUGAAGCUCAAAGACGAGGAAGAGGUCCUGAAGAGUCAAUGUGCUGAAGAAGGUGUGAUUUCAGAGGGUUAUAAUGGUGAUACAGUGAGCGAAGCCGAGGCAGAAAACCCACAAGAGCAUUUACUCACGGCCUGUCUUAUUGUUUCCUGUGCUGAAGAGCCAGAGAACAUAGUCAAUGAGCGAUCAGAGGAGGUUUCUAGAGAUUCAGCUGGGGAUGUAAAAGAGCAUCCUGAAAAAAGUGCUAAGAGGGAGAGAGCGGGAGAGAAGGAAAAUGGAGAGGAGAAGAAGGUAGAGGAAGUGAUGGAGGAAAGAGAUGAUAGAAACGGGGGAGGAUGGGACAAACAAGAGGGAGAAGAAACAGCAUGUGAGAGCGAGGGAGAUAUGGGCAAAAGAGAGGAGAGAGAGGUAUUAAAGGAAUUGGAAAAAACAGAAGAAAAUUAUGUGGGGGUUAGGGUGGGAGUGGAGAAGGAACAAGGAGGAAUGAUUGAAGAAGAGGAUGACAUGAUAGCAGGUGAUGAAAGGGAAGUAGGAGAUGAUGACACAAAGCAGGAAGAGGUAAUUUAUGAAGAGAUGAUGAGCAUAGUAGUGAGGGAUGACAUGAUGGAAAGUGGAGAGAGGAAGGAUAGGGAAGGAGAGACUGAGGGAAGUACAUUUAUAGAGGAGGUGAUAGAAACCAAAGAAGAUGGAGAGAUGAUUGGAGUACAACAGAAAGAGAUAGAUGAGAGUAAGGCAAGUGAAGAGAUGAGUGCAAAAGAAGAGGCGAAGAAAGCGGUGGAUCCCAUGGGAGAGACUGAGGAAGAGGCAGCUGAAGGAGUGGAUACCAUGGGAGAGACUGAGGAAGAGGCAGCUGAAGGAGUGGAUACCAUGGGAGAGACUGAGGAAGAGGCAGCUGAAAGAGUGGAUACCAAUGGGAGAGACUGAGGAAGAGGCAGCUGAAGGAGUGGAACCAUGGGGGAAGAGACGGAGGAAGAGUCAGCUGAAGGAGUGGAUACCAUGGGAGAGACUGAGGAAGAGGCAGCUGAAGGAGGGGAUACCAGGGGAGAGACUGAGGAAGAGGCAGCUGAAGAGUGGAUACCAUGGGGAGAGACUGAGGAAGAGGCAGCUGAAGAGAGGGUGGAAGGUGUGGAUACCAUGGGAGACGGACGGAAGAGGCAGCUGAAGAGAGGGUGGAAAGGUGUGGAUACCAUGGGAGAGACUGAGGAAGGCAGCUGAAGAGAGGGUGGAAGGUGUGGAUACCAUGGGAGAGACUGAGGAAGAGGCAGCUGAAGAGAGGGUGGAAGGUGUGGAUACCAUGGGAGAGACUGAGGAAGAGGCAGCUGAAGAGAGGGUAGAAAAGAUGUCGAUUGAUAAUGAGAAACAGGAUCUAGAGGCACAGCACGUUUUAGAGAGAAGACAAAGAGAUAUAGAUCUUAUAAAGGAUGUUGUGGGAGAGGGAUAUGAAGAGGGAGAGAAAGAGAUGGAAGUGGGAGAUGUAAUCUGGGAGGAAGAAGGAGAUAGUAUACGUGUGGUCCAACGGGAGACAGAUGAGAAGAAGAAGAAAGGAGAGACGAAAGAUCAACUAAAGACACCAACAAUAGAGGAAAGAGAAGAAGAACUGAAAGAGAUCCAGAUAAACAACAACAAAAAAUAUGAGGGAGAAAAUGAAGCGAUGGAUAGUAAAGUGGGGUCUGAAAAAGGGGUGGGGAGAGUGCUGGUCGUGUCUAAACAACAAACACCCCCUAAAGUGUAUCAAGCAAGAUCAGUGCCAGUGGUACCACCCAAGCCCCAUCAUUGCCGAAUAACUGCACUGAACCUCAGACAACAGCAGCACCAGAGGGAGAGGAGAGAGACAGACAGAGACAGUGGAAAGGGAAAGGUACACAGGACUUUGGGACAGCAAGAUAAGGAGAGAAAGAUGGAAGGAAAGCCAGAGCAUGACAAAGUCAGCGAGACAGAACGAGGGUGGAAUGAGGAUGGAGAAGAUGAGGGCACAGGCAAAAAGGAGGCACAGAGUGGGGGGGUGAGGGAGAGGAGGAGAGAUGUGGAUGAGAGGGGAGUGAAAGACAUGAUGAAGAACAGUCCAGUCAGUAUGUGUUUUGAUGAAGCUGUUGCCAUGGGAAUCAAGAGAGGGAGAGAGAAAGAGGGCAGUGAAAGGGAGAAAAAAAAAGAGAGAGGAUAUGAAGUACAAUAAAGAGAAAGAGGUGGACAUAAAAGCCAGUAAAUGUUAUAGUCAUUGACUCUGUCUGGAUGGUUAGUAUACAAACGUAUCAUUUAUAUAUAGUUAUAUUUUCCAUACUGCCUGUAUUAUUCAGCCUGGGCCUAGAACCCCGUCCCACUAAUAUUCAAGGCUACUCAGAAAACUGAUCCUCCGCAGACUCCCCCCUCCCCUCCAUCUGUAAAUGUCCUCCUUUGAUGUUGCUAUUUUCAACCUAUUAAACUAACUUGCAAUUUUAACUUGGUUUCAAUCUACAAAGAGUUGUAAAUUUACACCCAAGUAUGUCAAUCUCAGGUAUCACAUCUCAUGCAUAACCAUAGGUAUUGUGAGCAAGAAAAUUGUAUAACUUCUUAUGAGCAAUGGCUAGAGAUGUCAUUAUUUGUACCAAUUCCAUAAACCAAUGCAUUUUCUGUUUUUAAUUAAUUUUUGUGAAUAAAUUUAUUCUGCAGACAAAAAUAAUUGUUUUAUUUGUAUUUUCAGAAAUAAUUUUACAAGUAGCUGUCCUGACUGAUUUCACAGAAAUAUCACAACAUAAGAACAUAGGGGUGCAGUGUAGGGGUGCUAUACAGAAGAUAACCCAAUUUGGUAAAAGACCAAAGUCCAUAUUAUGGCAAGAACAGCUCAAAUAAGCAAAGAGAAACGACAGUCCAUCAUUACUUUAAGACAUGAAGAUCAGUCGAACCGGAAAAUUUCAAGAACAUUGAAAAUUUCUUCAAGUGCAGUCGCAAAAACCAUCAAGCGCUAUGAUGAAACUGGCUCUCAUGAGGACAGGAAAGGAAGACCCAGAGUUACCUCUGCUGCAGAGGAUACAUUCAUUAGAGUUAACUGCAUCUCAGAUUGCAGCCCAAAUAUAUGCUUCACAGAGUUCAAGUAAACAGACACAUCUCAACAUCAACUGUUCAGAGGAGACUGAGUGAAUCAGGCCUCUGUGAUCAAAUUGCUGCAAAGAAACCACUACUAAAGGACACCAAUAAGAAGAAGGGACUUGCUUGGGCCAAGAAACACAAGCAAUGGACAUUAGACUGGUGGAAAUCUGUCUUUUGGUCUGAUAAGUCUAAACGUGAGUUUUUUGGUUUCAACCGCAGUGUCUUUGUGAGACAUAGAGUAGGUGAACGGAUGAUCUCCGCAUGUGUGGUUCCCACUGUGAAGCAUGGAGGAGGAGGUAUGAUAGUGUGGGGGUGCUUUGCUGGUGACACUGUCGUGAUUUAUUUAGAAUUCAAGGCACACUUAACCAGCAUGGCUACCACAGCAUUCUGUAGCGACACGCCAUCCCAUCCGGCUUGCACUUAGUGGGACUAUCAUUUGUUCUUCAACAGGACAAUGACCUAAAACACACCUCCAGGCUGUGUAAGGGCUAUUUGACCAAGAAGGAGAGUGAUGGAGUACUGCAUCAGAUGACCUGGCCUCCACAAUCACCCAAUCUCAACCCAAUUGAGAUGGUUUGGGAUGAGUUGGACCACAGAGUGAAGGAAAAGCAGCUAACAAGUGCUCAGCAUAUGUAUGAACUCCUUCAAGACUGUUGGAAAAGCAUUUCAGGUGAAGCUGAUUGAGAGAAUGCCAAGAGUGUGCAAAGCUGUCAUUAAGGCACAGGGUGGCUACUAUUUUGAUUUGUUUAACACUUUUUUGGUUACUACAUGAUUCCAUAUGUGUUAUUUCAUAGUUUUGAUAUCUUCACUAUAUUUCUACUAUGUAGAAAAUAGUAAAAAUAAAGAAAAACCCUUGAAUGAGUAGGUGUCCAAACUUUUGACUGGUAUUGUAUCUUAUCACCAGUCUCAACAUCAACAGUGAAGAGGCGUCUCCGGGAUGCUGGCCUCCUAGGGAGAGUUCCUCUGUCCAGUGUCUGUGUUCUUUUUCCCAUCUUAAUCUUUUCUUUUUAUUGGCCAGUCUGAGAUGUGUUUUUAUCUUUGCAACUCUGCCUAGAAGGCCAGCAUCCCGGAGUCGCCUCUUCACUGUCGAUGUUGAGACUGGUGUUUUGUGGGUACUAUUUAAUGAAGC